UAACGACUGAACCAGCGAUUUGGGGGAAUGUUAAUAUGUAAAACAUAUGUUGAUUUAUUCAAUUAAAGUUCUAGCAGGUUAAUGAUAAUGACAAUUACCUGUCUAUAAGUCUUGACCAAAUCUUGUGCCAGCUGUCGCGGCAAGACGAGAAAGGCUGCGUUAUUCAUCUUUAAUAGGUUUAAAGGGUACCUAGACGGUAAGUCAACUAUUUAAAAUAAAGUAAUUUACUAGAGUUAAUAUACUAAGAGGUUAGAAUUGAUGGUGGUAAAGAUAAUAUUUAUUGAUACCAUGAAGGACUGGUAAAAGCGAAGGCAAUCCUUUAGUAUUAACUGACGUUGAGGGACGAAGGCUUGGGUAGCAAACAGGAUUAGAUACCCUAAUAGUCCGGGCAGAAAAUUAUGAAUGUCAUAGACCAACUAGUGGUCUAUAAAUGAAAGUGUAAGCAUUCCACCUCAAGAGUAAUGUGGCAACGCUGGAACUGAAAUCAUUAGACCGUUUCUGAAACCAGUAGUGAAGUAUGUUAUUUAAUUCGAUAUUCCACGAAGAACCUUACCAAACGACUGUUUGAUUAUUUAUAUAAAUAAUGUAGAACAAGUGUUGCACGGCUGUCUCCAGUUAAUGUCGUGAGAGAGAGAUUAUCACAUCCUUAAAAUUAACGUAAACCCUUAUUUUAUUUGGUGUAAUAAAAU
rnacentral:rRNA from 1 species